AGAGACAGCAGCCGCCGCGGUAAUACAGAGGAUGCAAGCGUUAUCCGGAAUGAUUGGGCGUAAAGCGUCUGUAGGUGGCUUUUCAAGUCCGCCGUCAAGUCCCAGGGCUCAACCCUAGACAGGCGGUGGAAACUACGAAGCUGGAGUACGGUAGGGGCAGAGGGAAUUUCCGGUGGUGCGGUGAAAUGCGUUGAGAUCGGAAAGAACACCAACGGCGAAAGCACUCUGCUGGGCCGACACUGACACUGAGAGACGAAAGCUAGGGGAGCAAAUGGGAUUAGAUACCCGCGUAGUCCCUGUCUCUUAUAA
rnacentral:rRNA from 1 species